rnacentral:lncRNA from 1 species
UUCGGUACGUUUGCGAUAUUGCACCAGUCCCGGCCUAUCCGAGCGGGCCGGGUCGUCGGGGACCGCUAGUCGGGCGCUCCGCCGCUCCGUCGCUCAGCAUCCGCGGCGCGCGGUCCCGUUAGGCGGCCGGUCGGUCGUUCACUGCGGUGGCCACGCUUAGGUCGCGAUUAGGUGUAAACGUUGUGUCUGUUAAUCAAAUUGCACCAAUCCCGGCCUGCUUGUGGUCGCCAUGCCGCGUGAGACCGUCGCCGCCGCACCGCCGCCACCGCACGUGCUGUCGCGACGUGGACCCGCUGCAAGUUGCAACUUACCCCGUAUACUAAAUUUUAUAACCUGCACUGUGCAACAUUUAUUACCUAAGGCAUUACGCUCUGUUGUUUUAGCAUCGAGAGCGUUUUCCUUUAAAAACAAGAUCAAAACACGAAUGGCGGGAACAAAAAGCGUGACGUGUGCGAUUAUUUUGUAAUAUUCUGUGAAGGCGAGAUGGAUACGGCGCGUGAUUUUAAAAUCGCAGUUUUGAUCCCGCAGCGGCGUCACACAAUUCCUGGACAUCAUUCUUGUUUGGAACGAGUUUUGGCAGAACCGGAUGACGCAAUCAUGGCUGCGCGCACGCCUAUUAAUUUAGCCCUAAUGCUAUCCUUUUAUUCGUUGCAACUGAAGAAAUCUCGACGCCGAAAUAUUGUAUUACCUUGUUUUAGCAAAUGGUUUGUUAUUGUAGAUAUCGAAAAUACAGUUCGUAAGGUUAGUCGAGAGAUCUGUUUGGAUGGCAUUCAGAGUUCGAUUCUCGUGUCAAAUUUAUGCUUUUAGGCGAAUUUUAUCGCCUAAGUAUUUCUGCCAGGUUUGAAAUAUUAAGGUAAAACGGAAUAUUAAGAUCACAUUCAUAUUCCAUACGUAAUGUCUGAUAAGAUUAAUCAAAUAGGUAACACAAAAGUACUCACAAGUUCAGAGCCUCUACGUUUUUUUUUUAAUGUUUGCUAUGUUAUUUAUCAUUAUUUUUUGCGUAUAUUUUUAUGAGUCUUAAUAGGCAAAAUAGCAAACAGUCCAAUAAGCGCAAUAGCGGUAUGUCGAGAUAAUCGAAGUUUUGUAAAUACAGUUUUACAGUUUUGUAUGUAAAAAUGAGAUAGAGACACUUUUAAGGUUUUUUUUAACAAGUUCUAAACAAGAUGCAGUUAUUUAGGUAAGUUCAUUGGAUGGGUAUUUCUUUAAACUAUCUGAAGACAUAAAAAUCAAGAUUUUUUAUUUUUUUGAGAUACUAAAUACGAAUAAUAAUUGUCUCGAAUUUUUUUAUCACGAACUACUACCUCCGCUUGUAACAGCCAUUACUCGCGCACUACACGUCUUCAUGUUUAUACCAGUGUAACUCUCAUAAUGCAAACUCAGGCGUCACCGGAUGUAUGAUUGUGAUCUUUUAUUAGUGUUAUUUAGGGGAGCGGUUUUCUGUUUCAGGUUUAAGUUUAGGGGCUGGAAUAUCAGCCAUUGAAUGAAAAGGGAAGAUUAGGAACAUGAAUCUUGAGACGUUUUGCCUGACAUUUCAAGUCACCAGAUAUUUUUAAAUGUAUUGUAUUUUUGCUUUAAAAGUCAGAUAAUUAUAGAUUAUAUCAGGUGUUGCGGCUUUACCAUGAAAUGCUUUUACUGUUACAAAAGUCCUUAAGAAUAUAGCUAUUUAUAGUGCCACCUAUAUUAGCAGCUAUUAAACAAAGUUUAACAAUUCUUUGAAUUUAGUUGGUAACAAAUUACUGGGAUGAAAAAUAGCCUGUGUUAAUCCAGGACUACCCGUUUGUCAAAUUCCAUCCGAAUCCGUUCAGUUGUCUCUGAGUUUAAUUCUAAGAAACAUCUAAACAACACAAACUUUCGCAUUUAUAAUGUGUAAGAUUUAUGUUCUAUAAUGAUGUUAGAAGGAUGUAUCUAGUCUCAAAAAAUGUUCUAGUUGCUAAGUCAAUAAAUAUUGAAGAAUUA